GAUGGGAGGGCGACCCUGCUGCAGGAAGGCCCCGUGCCUGCGACACAUUUACCCCCAUCUUGCUUCCCAGCAGCCUUCACCUUGGCCAGGACGGGAGAAAGGAGGGGGCUGGCUUGAGCACCCCCAGUCUGGGCAGGGUGGCUUGUCCUGGGGAUCCCACUCUGGUCCCCCCUCUGUCCCGCUCCACCCUCAGCCCAGCUGCAAAAACUCUCCAAGGUUCCUACCACCUGGCUUAGCUUUUAAUCCUUCCCUCACCUCCACCACGGUGCUCCAUGCCAGACUGCCCCAUGCGCAGGUGCCCACAAGCAUUGCCCAGGAACUGGACUGGGCAGGACCUCAGCCCAGGAGGCCGGGACCAGGCGAAUGGAGAGGCUGGGGCUUCUCCUGGUCAGUGGACAGCAGAGCACAUGUCCGGCUGCCCUUGCACAGCAGCCCCGCAGCUGUUUGUUUAACCCCCAGGAGGUCUUCCCUGGUUCGGUGGGGGUCUCUGCUCCAGACCAAAACUUGAAUUUCGCAGGUGGGUGUGACUCACGCCCCGUGACACCUGUCUGGCCUGACUUGGAGCUGUCGGGACAGGACAGCCCACCUGCGGGUGGUGGGUGUUACUGGCCCAGCAGGAAGCCCAGAAGGGGUGCGGGGGCAGCUCUCAGCGGAAAGAUUAAGGGGCCCCAACCCCAGCCUAGAUGAUAGGCGGGCUAGCGACUAGGAAGAUGGCUUUUGAUUUUUCAGAUAGCUUUGUAAUGUUAGAACAGUUUUAGGUUUACAGAAAAGGUGUGAAGCGAGCACAGAGCUUCCGUCACCCCUGCCCGCGCCCCUCCACCCCCGCCAGCCAUUAAUAGCAUCUCACAUGAGCCUGGCGCAUUCGCCAGCGAGGAGACGACCCCACCUUCACUGGUAACCAGCAAGUGCUUCAGGCGGAGCCCCUGGUUUCUGCCCCCGUCCUUCCUGGCCAGGGUCCCGUCCAGGCUCCUGAGCGGCUCUGGCCACAUGACGGCUCAGACUCUCCCGGCUCUGGUGACCUUGGCCCCUGGGAGGAGCACCUGCGGGUAGCUCGGAGAUUGCCCCUCACUGGGGAUCAGAUGACCUCUCCCGAUUAGAUGGGGGUGAUGGAUUUGGAGCAGAAGAUAACAAAGGAAUCCCAAAUGGCGCGCUCAGAGUUCGCCGCCAGCCAGGAGCCGUGAAGCCAGGAGGCGAGCGAUCGCGAGCCAGAGAGAGACCAAGGACCACGUGUUUGGUUUUUAUAUCCAACCUGGCUGCCCAACUCCACCCUCAGGUCCCAGCCACCCUCCCUUGGUGGUGAUGGGAUUUGUCUUUCCCAAUGUCCUGAUGGCUUUAGUCUGGAGUGGGGGUGGGAUCCACAAAGCCUGUAUGGGAUUAACUCAGGACAUCCUCUCCCCCUAACAGUUCGA